UGCAGCAGAUGACAAACAGUGACUUCUUCAGUUUCACAUCAAAGCUUCUGUAGAAGUCGUUCAUAAUCAGGUAAGCCAAAAGUGAUGUAUCUAAGACUCUUAGUACAAUAGCUGGACUCACCAUAUUGGCUUCUCAAAAUUCCUAAUUUCACACAAUUCUUGGAAUCACACUCUUUCAACACAUUUAUAUAAAAAAAAAAUCAAAUAUAACUUCUAAAUUUAAGAAAUAGAAAAAAAAAUCAAAGGAAUCAAAGUGAUAAAGUAAAUAUUCAAAUUUACAAAGCAAGGAUUCACUUACAGAGUUAAGGAGAGAGAAGCAAUAGAAAUCCAAGAGAGAAAGCGAAGGAGUGAGCGAGCGAGCGAGAGAGACCGAGCGAGAGAGAGAGAGAGCAGGGAGGAGAGGAGAAGGGGGAGAGAGCACAAGUGAGUCAGAGUAAGGGAGAGGGAUGUCGGUCAAUAGGAUGUGAGUAAGGGAAGAAUUGUCGGUCAAUCGGCACAAUGAGUGAGGGGAAGGGCUGUCGGCAGUAAGGGUGAGUGAGGAAAGUGGCUGUCGGCAGUAAGGAGAGUGAGUGAGGGAUGCAAUGUGAUUUUAGAAUUAGGGUUUCAAUAUAAAAUUGUAUUUUUUAAAAUUAACUUAAUAUAAUAGAUAAUAAUAAUUUAAAUUGAGUAGAAUUAAUAAUAAUAACUUAAUUAGAUAUCCAUAUACACUGAUAAAGAUAUAUAAUAAUAAAAAAAUAGUUUACAACUUAACUAAAAAAUAUAUUUAAAAAAACUAUUAGGAC
rnacentral:lncRNA from 1 species